rnacentral:lncRNA from 1 species
CUAAGGCUUCGUCUUCGAUUCGGGGGACUUUGGAAAAAUCAUUCUCUUCCUCAAGUGAAGAUUCUAGGUUAGAAAUCUCUAAUGAUUUUUCUAAUGAAAAUAGCUUAUCCUUGGCUGAGGAAUUUUCUGUUUCAUCUAACGGGGGAAAAAAUGGUUCAAAGAGAUUCAAUAAGUUACGGAAGAAAGGUAUUAAGAAACUUUGUCAUAAAUCUAAGGUGGAUUCAAUUGUGCCUCUCCAAAUUAUGAGUGAUAGUCCCAAUUCUAGCCGUAAUACGAAAGCUGAAGAUACUUGGAAUUUAGGUAAGAAGUUGGGCUUGGUUUCUCAAUGCACUGACAAAAUUCUUUUAGAUAAGCUUUCUAAGAUCCAGAGUACAUCAGUUUUGAAAUAAGUCCUCAAUUGGUAUGUUUUCAACUUAGGUGUAUGAUUUUGAUGCGCUAAGGCUUUCCCUUUGAGAUGUUUCCUUAACCCUGUCUUCUGUGAAAGCUUUUCUUUUGCUGAUUAUUUGGUGAAAUUUGGUCAUGAUUUAAGCUCAAUAUUUAGUGCUUGGUGGUUAUUAUGACAUUUGUUAUUUCUACCACCUGGUUUUCCGAUACUCUAUUUUUUCUAUUGGUUUUAUGAUCCUUCAUCCGAACUUAUUUGAGGUAGAUCUUUCAUAUGUUUUUAUUACAGAAAGCAGAAUGCAACCAUAUUUUUUUCCUCCGUUUUUUGUUGUUUUUCUACUUUAUUCUCUAUUUCUUUUACUGCUUCAGCUUUUGGCAGUUUUCUUUGCAGUCAAAGAUGCAAAUUGUUGUCCAUCACAAGUAAUCGCAAAUAAGAGUUGAGCCAGUGUUGAUGGCAUUGAAAGCUUGGUAAUUAACUUGAAAUUGGAUCUGUUUGAGCUAUAACGAGGCUUGCACGCCUAGCCUUCAUAGGCAACAUGCAACCAAAAUUGUAUAUGGUGAUGAUAAUGAUGCUGGAAAUUUUAGCUUGCAUGACAGAUUUAGAAACCAGGAAUUUCUAACCCUAGGUCUUGCUAUUGGUGCAGAAGUUACUCAUAAAGCUUCUAGUACAUAUGCCUCAAAGAAUCCAUACUGCAGAAGAGUCAUUCGGUUAUAAUUCCUAGUGAAGUGCAAUAUGGAUUGCAGCUUAGCCUAUGCAAUCCAUAGAAAACCUUCAAUGAAUUGAAUGGGCUUUCUUUGUUGAUAGGUGACUUUUCCUUUCAACAUUUUUUUAGGAGGCUAACUCCAUAGCUGAUGCUUUUGAUGGUGAGCUGUGCUUUGAUAUGUUUUUUGUGUUGCAAUACCCAGCUCUAAGGGUUGUUUUGGG